rnacentral:rRNA from 1 species
GUCGAGCGGAACGAUGGAAGCUUGCUUCCAGGCGUCGAGCGGCGGACGGGUGAGUAAUGCAUAGGAAUCUGCCCGAUAGUGGGGGAUAACCUGGGGAAACCCAGGCUAAUACCGCAUACGUCCUACGGGAGAAAGCAGGGGAUCUUCGGACCUUGCGCUAUCGGAUGAGCCUAUGUCGGAUUAGCUAGUUGGUGAGGUAAUGGCUCACCAAGGCCGCGAUCCGUAGCUGGUCUGAGAGGAUGAUCAGCCACAUCGGGACUGAGACACGGCCCGAACUCCUACGGGAGGCAGCAGUGGGGAAUAUUGGACAAUGGGCGAAAGCCUGAUCCAGCCAUGCCGCGUGUGUGAAGAAGGCUUUCGGGUUGUAAAGCACUUUCAGUGGGGAAGAAAUCCUCGGGGCCAAUACCCUCGAGGGAGGACAUCACCCACAGAAGAAGCACCGGCUAACUCCGUGCCAGCAGCCGCGGUAAUACGGAGGGUGCGAGCGUUAAUCGGAAUUACUGGGCGUAAAGCGCGCGUAGGCGGCGUGAUAAGCCGGUUGUGAAAGCCCCGGGCUCAACCUGGGAACGGCAUCCGGAACUGUCAGGCUAGAGUGCAGGAGAGGAAGGUAGAAUUCCCGGUGUAGCGGUGAAAUGCGUAGAGAUCGGGAGGAAUACCAGUGGCGAAGGCGGCCUUCUGGACUGACACUGACGCUGAGGUGCGAAAGCGUGGGUAGCAAACAGGAUUAGAUACCCUGGUAGUCCACGCCGUAAACGAUGUCGACUAGCCGUUGGGGUCCUUGUGACCUUUGUGGCGCAGUUAACGCGAUAAGUCGACCGCCUGGGGAGUACGGCCGCAAGGUUAAAACUCAAAUGAAUUGACGGGGGCCCGCACAAGCGGUGGAGCAUGUGGUUUAAUUCGAUGCAACGCGAAGAACCUUACCUACUCUUGAC